CUAUGUACACAACAUUAAAGUGAUCUCCUUGGCUCGGUUCCCCAACCCCCAGACCCAGGUACAGUUUAGGGUCUCCAGUACUGGGAUUUUCACUUAACUGCUAAUCCUUUUCCUCAUGAGGCUUGGUCAUC